rnacentral:rRNA from 1 species
ACACAUGCAAGUCGAACGGGAAGAGAUGAAGAGCUUGCUCUUUAUCGAAUCCAGUGGCAAACGGGUGAGUAACACGUAAACAACCUGCCUUCAGGAUGGGGACAACAGACGGAAACGACUGCUAAUACCGAAUACGUUCCACGGGCCGCAUGACCUGUGGAAGAAAGGGUAGCCUCUACCUGUAAGCUAUCGCCUGAAGAGGGGUUUGCGUCUGAUUAGGCAGUUGGUGAGGUAACGGCUCACCAAACCAACGAUCAGUAGCCGGUCUGAGAGGAUGAACGGCCACACUGGAACUGAGACACGGUCCAGACUCCUACGGGAGGCAGCAGUGGGGAAUCUUCCGCAAUGGACGAAAGUCUGACGGAGCAACGCCGCGUGAGUGAAGACGGCCUUCGGGUUGUAAAGCUCUGUGAUCCGGGACGAAAGAGCCUGAGGUAAAUAGCCUGAGGAAGUGACGGUACCGGAAAAGCAAGCCACGGCUAACUACGUGCCAGCAGCCGCGGUAAUACGUAGGUGGCAAGCGUUGUCCGGAAUUAUUGGGCGUAAAGCGCGCGCAGGCGGCUUACUAAGUCCAUCUUAAAAGUGCGGGGCUUAACCCCGUGAUGGGAUGGAAACUGGAAAGCUGGAGUAUCGGAGAGGAAAGUGGAAUUCCUAGUGUAGCGGUGAAAUGCGUAGAGAUUAGGAAGAACACCGGUGGCGAAGGCGACUUUCUGGACGAAAACUGACGCUGAGGCGCGAAAGCGUGGGGAGCAAACAGGAUUAGAUACCCUGGUAGUCCACGCCGUAAACGAUGGAUACUAGGUGUAGGAGGUAUCGACUCCUUCUGUGCCGGAGUUAACGCAAUAAGUAUCCCGCCUGGG